rnacentral:rRNA from 1 species
CGGCGAACGGGUGAGUAACGCGUGGGAAAUCUGCCGAGUAGCGGGGGACAACGUUUGGAAACGAACGCUAAUACCGCAUAACAAUGAGAAUCGCAUGAUUCUUAUUUGAAAGAAGCAAUUGCUUCACUACUUGAUGAUCCCGCGUUGUAUUAGCUAGUUGGUAGUGUAAAGGACUACCAAGGCGAUGAUACAUAGCCGACCUGAGAGGGUGAUCGGCCACACUGGGACUGAGACACGGCCCAGACUCCUACGGGAGGCAGCAGUAGGGAAUCUUCGGCAAUGGGGGCAACCCUGACCGAGCAACGCCGCGUGAGUGAAGAAGGUUUUCGGAUCGUAAAACUCUGUUGUUAGAGAAGAACGUUAAGUAGAGUGGAAAAUUACUUAAGUGACGGUAUCUAACCAGAAAGGGACGGCUAACUACGUGCCAGCAGCCGCGGUAAUACGUAGGUCCCAAGCGUUGUCCGGAUUUAUUGGGCGUAAAGCGAGCGCAGGUGGUUUCUUAAGUCUGAUGUAAAAGGCAGUGGCUCAACCAUUGUGUGCAUUGGAAACUGGGAGACUUGAGUGCAGGAGAGGAGAGUGGAAUUCCAUGUGU